AGUUCUAUUAACGCGUACCAAAAAUACGCAAGUUUAAAGAAGCCAUUAAAAAGUGAAGUUACCGUUUGUUUGUGAUGAGUCAUGCCAAAGUCUACUCAAGCUCAUAUACAUGUAGUUACAAAACCAGGAGAAGAACUUGAAUUUUAUGUUAAGGAUAGUCUAAAAGGAAAUGAGUUAUUUGAUUUGGUUUGCAGAGUUAUUGGUUUACGUGAAAGUUAUUAUUUUGGUUUGUACUAUGAAAAACCUAAUAAAACACAAUGUUGGCUUCGAAUGGACAAAAAGUUGCGCAAUGAGCUUGGAGGUGAAAUAAAUACUGUGAAACUAUAUUUGAGAGUCGAAUUUUAUCCUGAAGAUGUUGAACAAGGACUUAUUUUAAAUAUUACGCAGCAAUUAUUUUUCAUACAUGUUAAAAAUGAAAUUCUGAAUGAAAAUAUCUAUUGUCCUGCUGGAGAAGCAGUACUUAUGGCAGCUUUUGCUGUUCAAGCAAAGUAUGGAGAUUUUGAUGAAGAGCUACGUCAUAAAGAUUUUCUGUUAGAUGAACAGCUACUUCCUAAAAGAGUAAAAAAUAUGUACCAGUUAACUGAUGAACAAUGGGUUGAACGAAUUAAAAGCUUGUAUGCUGAUCAUCCUACAGGUCUUUCGAGGGCAGAAGCAGAGAUGGAAUACUUGAAGAUUGCUCAAGAUCUUGAAAUGUAUGGCACAGGAUAUUAUUUAAUUCAGAAUGACAAGCAAACAGAGUUAUGGUUAGGAAUACAAGCGACUGGCAUAAAUAUUUAUUCUUAUGAAAAUAAACUUGUGCCUAAGGUUUCCUUUAUUUGGAGUGAAAUAAAAAAUAUUAGUUUCAAAAAUACUCAGAUAUUGAUUGAGCCAAUGGGAAAAGAUGUUCAAAGUUUUUGCUUUAUUUCUAAUGAUGUUAGUAUGAAUAGAGAGAUUCUGUUGUUGUGUAGUGGUAACCAUGAGUUGUAUUUGAAACGCAGAAAACCAGAUAGUUUAGAGUUGCAGGUUAUGAAGUUGCAGGCUAACGAACUCAAAGGAGAAAGACAGAGGGAAAAAAAGCGAUACAUGAAAGAAAAACAGCGUAGUAUUGAAUUGGAAAAAAGAUUUAAAGAAUUCCAGACGACGUUGGAAAAGUACCAGACACACUUGAAAAAAGCUGAAGAAACAUCUGAUUUGUUAGCUGAGAAAGCAUUGAUAUCUGAAGAAGAGGCAAGACUGUUGUUGAAAAAAGCCAGUGAUCUUGAGACAGAGGUAAAAAGGCUUCGUGCAGCUCUUAAUCAGAAAGAUGAAGAAAGGUUUUUCUUAGAAACUCAUAUACAAUCUGCUGGUCUUACUAUUCAGCAAAUUCUUCAAGAAUCAGAAAUAAGGAGUAGAGAAGCUAGAUUAUUAAAACAAGAGCUGGAUCAGUCCCGAAAUUUGGAAUGGUUAGCGUCAGAACGCUUACUUCAGUUAACCGCAAAUCAGCGUUUGGCAUCACAAAUGAACACACAACCCAUAAGUAAUUUUUAUGAUGAUGAAGCUAAUGACAAAAUUAAGUAUUUGCAAAGAGAAAGAUUAAAGUUUAAAUGAUUGGAACCAAUGGUAUCAUUUGUAUGAAAAUUUUAGAAUUGAAUAUCUUGAGAAAAGCCAUCAUUUGCAACAACAGCUGACUGAACUGAAAACUCAAAUAGAAGGUCUAAAAAUAACUGGUAGUCAAGAUAUGCUGGAUCGUAUUCAUCUUGAAAAUGUUGUUAAAGGAGAAACAAAAUAUUCAACUUUG
rnacentral:misc_RNA from 1 species